AAUAAAUAUAAUAUUAAAUACAAAUAAUUUAAAUAUUAUUUAACAUUAUCGUAACAGAUUCUUAAAGUUCGCUUCAUUAUAACAAUUAUUUCGAUACGAAAGAACGUUUAUUAAUCUACAGGAAGUAAAUACUUUGUAAGAUAGAAGGCAGGUUCUGUUUAUACUAAUUGCUAUAUUUUGAUGUUCGAUACACAAACCUAUAUAAGACCGUUGCUUGGCAGCAGUCUUUAGUCGAAGCCGAUCAGUGACAAGUGAAGGAUGUAUUUAACUUUCUGCUGUAAAAACGAUAAAGUUUCAAAGUCGGAAGAAAUGAUUUAACGAAUUAAGUAUUUAAAUACCGAGGAAAUUGAGAAACAAAAUUAAAAAAUUUUUAUGCGCCAUUUUAAUACGCAUGCUUUUCACAUGUCGCGUUCAUCACUCAUACCUCAAACAAAGAAAUCUUUAUUAUUCCUCCUUUAUUAUUAGGUUUCGUAAAUGGCAUUUUAAUAAUAUUUUAGCAAUAACAUAUAUUAUUGCGUAUAUUAUUAACAAUAAAUAAGAAUAUAAUAAAAUUGGAUUUCUUGAUAAGAGUAUUAGCCACAUAUAUCCUCCAUAACCUUAAUGACGUUCAAUCAAAUUUUGUUUGUUUCAUAUACUAUGUUUCACUUUCAAAAUUGUUUACUGCCUACAUAGCUGUCAGAAAUCAAAACUGAUCAAUAGAGUUCCACUGCUUCUCAUCUUCGGUGUGAUGUGUCAUCGUUUCUUCAUUCAGAGAAGAUUCAUAAAAUUAUGAAAUUUUAUGCUAGAUACGUCACUGAAUCGUAUAAAUAGGUGAACCAUAUCCUCGAUCGGAUUUCGCAUCGUGUGUCAGGGAUCGGCUGCAGCAGCUAGGUACAUACCGCUCAAAGAGUGGCCAGGGCCAGCGCGUAAGAUCGCGCAGACGAUGUGACAACGUUGCACGGUCGAUAUGCUCUUUCAGGCAAAGUGCCAAGAUUGGUAAACGCACGCGGGGGUAUAUAGUCGCGGUUUCAGGUGCCCUUCCCUCCUCUAACGCCCGCGUUUCAUCCCCACCUUCACUCCUGGAACUUACCCGUGGGAUUCUGCGUGAUAGUGGGGGUCGAAUAAUAGGGGUGGGGGAAUUGAAGCUGCGCAGAACGUCGCCAGACAUACGCCACUGUUUGUGCCUUUGCGCAGCUCUUACAUACAUAUACCCAACCGUCUCCUAUGUACUACAUAUGUAUUAUACUUAUUAUUUUAAUCAUGAUUUACGGCUGCAACGUUGCCGGUUCUCGUUGCAGGCACGCCCACUCGGUCUCUCUUUUUUCACUUUUCAGUCGUACAUAUUAAUACAUAGAUAUACGCGGGGGGAGGGGGGGGGGGAGCAACGUCGCUUGAUCGAUACUUAAAGAAACAUAAUACAAUAACAAAAAGAUAUGUGAAAUUAUAUUUGUCAGCAUCGUACAAACACGGUAAGCGUACAUUUUUGCAAAUAAAGAUACAUGUAUCUUUGUCAAGGAACAAGGUAAAAUGGCUCUCGUAUAUGCAAAAUGAAAAACAAAAGGUAUUUUCGAAAACUAGUAAUUAUAUACAUAGUAAUUAGAAGUGUUUGUUUAUUGCGUUUUUACUUCCAUUACGUUAUUUUAGUAAAAAGUUACGACAGACAUUGAUCUAUAUGACUAUGCAACGUUGCCAUUACAAAAUGGCUGUCGCGGCCUUGAUUGGCCCGAUUUCUUCUAUGGCAUACGCUGGGCCAGUUGUUUGGCAACACCGAACGGUCGUAGCAGUCUAUUUAUAGUAGCUCUCUAUUGCUGCUGUUGCUAUGCCAAGUGGUGGCACAGUUUGCGGAGAGGGGAGACAGUAGGAAUGGAGGGGGAAGAGAUUACCAAAGAACAAUAUGGCGUUGAACCGGAUGUGCCCUCUACGAAUCUAUCCAUUCUCUUUGCCAUAACUGCAUUGUCUUUCUCUCUCCCUCUCCGACAUUUCUCAUCUUCCUUAUAUAAUCCCCUUUUUCUUCCUAAUACAACAUAUUUCUUUUUAUGUUUUGUUCAAUUACGAAAUCAAAAGAGCAAACAUUACGUAACAGGGUAAAAUAUCGUCUGCGCGGACACAAUUGAACGCCUUAAUCGCAAUAAGACGAGACAAGGUCAUCGCGUUUUAUGUGUAUUUUACGACAGGGAAAACGAGGAUAACUCGAGGGAAAGAAAAUAAAAGAACGUUCGAUAUAUCUGCGACAAUGGAGAAGGACGAUCUAAACACGCUCUAUCAUUUUUUUUUUAAACAUAAUUUUUUGCGCAACUCGCUAGGAUUGCAUAUGGCGGCGUGCACUUGUAGCAGCUGACAAGCGUCAUGGUGUGCGUUUCCAUGGCACACAAGCACGCAUGCGACUUGCACGAAGCCGCCGCCUCGGGAAUGCUCGGCAAACUUCGUGAAACUGCCUCUUUGUUACAUCAUUCUUUAGCUCUUAUGUAGUACAUAAGGGCGGGUACAUUAUAUACUGUGUCUGCACAUAUUUCCCUCCCAGCUCUCGCUCUCGUAUAUACAGUGUAUAUAGUUGCCUUUGCAUAUAUGUGCCGACGGAGCGAACGGACGGGCGGUCGAGGGAGUGAGCUCGGCUCCGCGUUACACGAAGCGCACAAAUGUGAAUCAACUAGAACGGACAAGUACAUUUAUAUCUUUCAUCUACUAAUAGUGGGAUGAUACAUCGACAGUACUAGUAAUAUUUUGACAGAUAACCUAACCUCAAAUAAUUAGAAAAAUUACAAUUAUAGGGAAAUAGUUAUAAAACAAGAUUGGCUGGAUCAGUUAAUAAAAAACUAAUGAUCGUUUUUAUAAUAAAGAACUAUACUGAAUUUUUUCGUUACACUGAUAUAAAAAACUAUCAUUAUAUACUAUUUUUCUGUAUAAUCAUAUCGCAUAAUGUAACAAUAAUUUAACGCGAUAUACGGAAUUGAAAAAAUGAACGGAUAAACAUACAACCGUUACUACCUGAAUAUAAUGAAAUUUUUAUGAACGAAUAUAUCUAUAUAUAAUCUUUCAUUAAUAUAAACAAGUUUUUAAUAAAGGACGACACGCUUUAAGCUCCUCGUAAUAUUUUAUCUUUAUGGAAGUUACACGGUUCUCUGAUUUAAGUAUUCAUUACACAGUUUCUUCCCAAAAAAAUAUCUAUAUUGCCAGGAUCAUCUUACCGUUUGCUUUAAAUAAACCAUGACGUCAUCCUCUGCAAGCACAUGCGGAUAAAAUGAAAUGUGAAUUAACAUCCUUUUAUUGAUCAUACAUCGGAACGCAUUGCAAAUAAGUCUUGUUAUUAACGAUUUAUCGUGCGUGUAAAUAUUAUAGCUAUAAUCAAUAUAUCAUGUAUAUUUAACGGGAUAUAAAAACAUUUUUGCAAACAUCAGACAUCGUGCACGUAAAUAUCAUUAAUCACGAUACUUCUUUCGAUAUCACAUAACCUAACAAUCACAGUAAACAUAAACAAUCUUUACAAGUCCUUUGCGUUCAUAAUGCGUCGUUCAAAUACAAUAAUCCAAACUCAAUUAAGGUUACACUACUACUGGCAAUAAAAACGAAUUCACAACAAACAUGUAUCCACUUGCACGUAAGUAGUCUUUAGUAUAGUACAGGGAUUAAUAAACGUUAAGACGUUUUACGUAGCUGCAUGUGUGAUUCUAUAUAUGUACACAUGCCUAAACAAAGUAAUUAUAGCACGCACAAUGUAAAUGAUUGAAGAGUGAUAAAAAAAAGUCAAAAAAGAGAAAAGAACCCGUUGUAUGGAAUGAAAAAAAAGAACGAGAGGUAGUACAAGAUAAAUGGAAAUACACAUCAGAUUUUAAGAGAACAGUGCUGCGCAGUCAAAUUCCACGUGUGGUUGUUGCAACGGUAUAUUGUCAACACGCGAGAGAUGCGUUGACAGGUAGUCCCAACGAGAGGAACCACGUUUCGCCGGGUCUGCACGAGAUGCAGAUCAUAGAAAGCACGAUGUGUAUACCUUCUAGGCACUGGGCACUGGGUACAACAUAGCGAGAGAAUAACGUGAUUGGACGUGGUAGGAAAUCGAGUGAGAACACAACCGGGAAAGAUGAAAAAGGAUAGUUAGGUGAGUAUCUAAACGAGGGAGGAAUACAGAUAGAUGGAAAGAGAAAAAGAGACAGAGAAUAUCGGGAGAGAGUGAGUGACAGA